GUGAGGAAUAUUGCGCAAUGGAGGCAACUCUGACGCAGCCAUGCCGCGUGCAGGAAGAAGGCGCUACGCGUUGUAAACUGCUUUUAACCGGGAAGAAACCCCAGGACGUGUCCUGGGUUGACGGUACCGGAGGAAUAAGCACCGGCUAACUUCGUGCCAGCAGCCGCGGUAAUACGAAGGGUGCAAGCGUUAUCCGGAUUCAUUGGGUUUAAAGGGUGCGUAGGAGGAGCGUUAAGUCAGUGGUGAAAUCCUGCAGCUUAACUGUAGACUUGCCAUUGAUACUGGCGCUCUUGAGUGCGCUUGAAGUGGGCGGAAUGUGCCGUUUAGCGGUGAAAUGCUUAGAUAUGGCACAGAACACCAAUUGCGAAGGCAGCCCACUAAGGCGAUACUGACGCUGAGGCACGAAAGCGUGGGGAUCGAACAGGAUUAGAAACCCGUGUAGUCC
rnacentral:rRNA from 1 species